UCCUUGGUAGUGCAACUGGUUAGCUCGCGAACCUCGAAAGGCUCGAUUCUGGUUCGAUUCCCGGCUGAGGUG